CCUACGGUGAGCAGCAGUGAGGAAUAUUGGUCAAUGGUCGGGAGACUGAACCAGCCAAGCCGCGUGAGGGAGGAAGGUACAGAGUAUCGUAAACCUCUUUUGUCAGGGAACAAAGGCGGGGACGUGUCCCCGGAUGAGUGUACCUGAAGAAAAAGCAUCGGCUAACUCCGUGCCAGCAGCCGCGGUAAUACGGAGGAUGCGAGCGUUAUCCGGAUUUAUUGGGUUUAAAGGGUGCGCAGGCGGUCUUUAAAGUCAGCGGUCAAAGCCCGGGGCUCAACCCCGGACCGCCGUUGAAACUGGAUGUCUCGAGUUGGAGAGAAGUAUGCGGAAUGCGCGGUGUAGCGGUGAAAUGCAUAGAUAUCGCGCAGAACUCCGAUUGCGAAGGCAGCAUGCCGGCUCCACACUGACGCUGAGGCACGAAAGCGUGGGUAUCGAACAGGAUUAGAUACCCGAGUAGUC
rnacentral:rRNA from 1 species